GCUGUGAUGCCACAAUUGGUAAUGGACCGAUCCCCCCAACCGGUGAUCCGCAUAGGCGGACUGGGGGUUCGAGUCCCUCUCACAGCG
rnacentral:tRNA from 1 species